CAUCCAAGACAAAACAACAAAAGUCGUCAUAAAUUUCGUCGAGUCUUUUUAUUUUAUUUUUUGUUUCCCUGUCUUUUUUCUAUU
rnacentral:ribozyme from 1 species